rnacentral:rRNA from 1 species
AUGGCCGAGACGGUGGUAAGCAUGGCGAGGUCCAUGCUGGGAGGCGCCAUCAGCAAGGCCGCCUCUGCCGCAGCUGCCGAGCUAAGCUUGGUCAUGGGAGUGCAGAAGGAUAUCUGGUUCAUCAAGGACGAGCUAAACACGAUGCAGGCAUUCUUGGCAGCCACUGAAGCAACGAAGAACAGAGACAUGCUGCUCAAGGUGUGGGCAGAGCAAGUAAGCGACCUGUCCUACAACAUAGAAGAUUGCCUUGAUGAAUUUAUGCUUCAUGUGAGGAGCCAAAGCCUGAUGAAACGGCUGAUGAAGCUCAAAGAUCGUCGUAGGAUUGCUAUCCAAAUUCACAACCUGAAAUCAAGAGUUGAAGAAGUGAGCAGCAGGAAUGCACGCUACAACUUGAUAAAGAUAGAGGCAUCAACGACCAGUGACAAGGAGGUUUCUUAUAUAGAAGAUGUACGUAAUCACUCGGCAAGCAACACUGAUGAAAUAGAACUUGUGGGCUUUACAAAGCCUAGGGAGGAGUUGAUUAAGCUGAUGGAUGUCAACGCUAGAGAUGGUGAUGCCAAAGUUAUAUGUGUCGUUGGCAUGGGUGGUUUAGGCAAGACUACUCUUGCAAGAAAUACUUAUGAAAGUAAGGAUGAUAUUCUGAAGAAUUUCUCUUGUUGUGCUUGGAUCACAGUUUCACAGUCAUUUUUCAAGAUAUAA